rnacentral:rRNA from 1 species
AUUAGUUUUAUUAUGUGUUAUUAGUUGAUAUUGCAUAUCAUUUAAGAAAAAUUUUAUAGAUAAUAAAAAAUAAAAAUAAGGAGUAGAGUUUUUUUUUCUUUUAUUGUUUCAUAAUAAAAAAUAAAAAAAUUAGAGUUGAAAAGUCGUUCUUUAUUAUAUUUGUUUUGUUUUAAAUAUUAGAAAAUUAUAUUUUAUUAAUUUUUUAUUGUAAUAAAAAAAUUUGAAGUGUUUAUCUUUUAAGUUUUAUAACUUUUUAUAAGUUUAGAAGUUUAGUAAUAAAUUAUGUAAUUUAUUAAUAUUUUAAUAAAUAUUUUAUCUUGGAAUUAGUAAAAUUAUUUUAAGAAAUAAAUUAAUGUUAAUAUAAUAAAAAAAUUCAGCAUUCAAUCAAAUGUUUUUUAAAGACUUAGACUUUUUUAUAAAGUUUGCUUCUGCCCAGUGAUGUUUUAAAUGGCAGUCUUAGCGUGAGGACAUUAAGGUAGCAAAAUAAUUUGUGCUUUUAUUAAGUUCCAGUAUGAAUGAAGUUAUUGGUUGAUGAUUUUUUUAUUUUGGGUUUGAAUUUGUAUUUAUAUAAAAAAUUAUAAUUGUAAUUAAACAAAGAUAAGUCUUCGGAAAUUCUAUUUAAACUUUGUGGAUUCAUGUAGUUUAAAAUUUUCUAGGGCAGAAUAAUAUAUAUUAGAAUUUUCUAUUAAUAAUUUAAAGAAUUACUCCGGAGUUAACAGAAAAUCAUGCUUAAUCUAGUUCUUAUAGUAUAGUAAGUUUUACAUCGAUGUUGUAUUUGGGUAUAUUAAGAAAGGAGAAAACUUAAUAAUUAAGACUGUUCUUCUUUUAAUUAAUUCAACGUGAUAUUAGUUUAAUUCAUUGUG